CUAACUGCCAGUCCUUGAUGGUCAAGGAUUCUAUCCUAACAGCCACAAGGACCAUGUGCUGCAGCCCCACAAAGACCCUAGUACAUAGACUUAUCCAUCAGUGGACUCCGAGUCAUCCACCUGCCUUUCCUCGUAGCAGCCUCCGCCUCUGUCGUGGAUCAUCUCAAACAUCUGCCUAUCUGCGUAGUCGUACGCCGGCUCGCUCGGUUGAGACAUACCAACGAACAGAGAGCGGGCAUCGAGCUGCUCCACGACGACGUCCACGUCCGGACAAGCUACGACAACGCAGACUUGGAGAAAAGGAGUGGAGCCACGGUCGACGCAGUAAGGCAUGUGCCUGGCGAUGGAUGUUGGGGACUGCCUACCGAGCCGCUGGGCGCCGUAGAAGUAGGGAGGCUUGUAUUGCUUCGGCUAUAACGGCGUGUGCAUGGAUGGUGGAGGCGCCCCGCGUCCAGGCCAUGCUUUUCGCUGGCACCACGCCCGUCCCCUGCACAUCCGCCAUGACCACCACCCCUGCCUCCUUUCUUCUUAAGUGGCACCACCUUUGCCUUCUAUCUGAGCCCGGUGGUCUUGUUGUGUCGCUGAGUUGAUCUUUUGGGCGGCCGUGAUCGCCGGAUCCUCCACCACCGCUGUCUCCGACAGCUUUCCGUAUGGGUCCAUGCCGCGGCGGCGGUGAAAAAAGAAGGGAAUUGGGGUGGAGAGCGGCGGGAUGGUAGAGAUGGUUGAGAAGGGGGAUUUUGCUGCGGAAACGGUGCGGCCAACUCCAAAUGCGCGGGCUCCGCCACAAUUUCGGUUGGGCUAGGGUGUUAAAGUCCUACUUAACUGGUGUCCGGACUCCCACAAAGCCUCCCUCGUUUGCUUCCAGUUUGUAGGAAAAUGUACACCAGACUGGUCCGUGGACCGAUGCGGGACACCAUUGGAGGGCGGUCUGGACGCAUGUAAGAGGUUUGACGAUCCGCGUUGGAGAUGCCCUAAGCAGCGGCAAGCUCAAGCCUGCCCUUCACCACCUUGAGCCGUCCUAUGAUCCCAAUCUUUCAUAUCAAAUUUUGGAAAUCUGUCUUCCAGAGGCACACUUGUAUGUGGCUAGAUGGUUUAGAGAGAAGUUAAUAUUACAACCUUGAACAUGUUAGAGUACAUAUAUAUAGCCAUGCAACCUUUUCAUAUUUACCCUAUUGUAUAAGGGGUUUCCUGCAUAUCCUACACCUGUACAUGUAUAUAUACCGGCCUAUGGCUUCAUGGGAAUACAAGUUGCAUAUUUCCUAACAUGGUAUUAGAGCUAGGUCAAUUUUUUGCACGUUGCAACUCGUGCGAUUGAUCCUCUGUGGCCGUCGCCGCUGCUUUUCUCUCUCGUAGCCGCUAGUUCUCCACGUCCUCCCCGCUCCUUCUGGAUCGAAGCCGUCGGGCACCUUCUAGAUCGAAGCCGCCGGUCUCCCUCUGGAUCGACUCCAUCAGGCAUCGCUGCCACCGGUCUCCCUCUGGAUCGAAUCCACCAGGAAUUGAAGCCACCGGUCUCCCUUUGGUUCGACUCCAUCGAGCCUGCUCAGGAUCGACGAUGCCGGUCGCCGGUCUCCCGCUGCCCCUCGUUGGACCUUGUUGUUGCUGCCGGUCUCCGCCCUCUGCAGCCCCUCGCCGGACCUUGCUGUCGGCCGCCGGAUCCCGCGCUCCUCGCCGUUGGCCGCCGGAUCCCGCGCUCCACGCCACCAGUUGUCGGGUUCUAUCGCCCCGAGCUACAAGAUCGGGCCGCCCCGUUGCAGUUCUGCUGCUGCUGCUAGCUCUCGCCCGAUCCGCCUGUUGCGAGUGCUGACUGCAGUUAGUAUCUGGAGCCUAUACUGCUGUUUGCCCGGUGAUUGCUAAAAAUAAAAAAUAAAAAAAUGGUGUCUUCGGCUUGUCCAUCCGUGGCGUUUGAGGGUAUUUCCUACCCUGAUUCCGUCUCGCCCAUGCGUUGUUUCUAGGUUCAGCAUGGUGCUCGUCCGUCUGUGACGUCGUUCCUUCUGCGGUCUUCCGCCGACUGUUUGGGUCACUUUUCUACGACUCUUGCGACCUCCACACAUGGUGAUUGUCGAUCUACAUCGUCUCUUCCCGUGACUUCUAUCGGUGAUUGUCACUCUACAUCGACUCCUUCCGUGACUCUACCGGCGAUUGUCACUCCGCCGACUGUGUGGGUCGCUCUUCUACGACUACUGCGACCUCCACACAUGGUGAUUAUCGAUCUACAUCGACUCUUCCCGUGACUUCUACCGGUGAUUGUCACUCUACAUCGACUCCUUCCGUGACUUCUACCGGUGAUUGUCACUCUACACCGACUCCUCUCAUCGACUGUAUUGGUGCAUAUGACUUCAUCGACACACGCUUUCCCUUGGCACUUGGGGCUUGUCUGCGUGCGCCCUCGUCUCCUCCAUCGGCUCUUGCUGAUGCUGCUGGUUAUGCUACACCGCCACAUCUAGCGGCUUCCACAGGUGGUGGUGGCUGCUCCUCUCCCGAUGCUACUACAUCGACCACUUCAGCUAUGUAUUUCACCGAGCAGGAGAUUGAGCGACUUCGCGAUCUGCUGGCUGCCUCCGUCUCUUCAUUACCGGGUGCAUCUACAUCGACCUCUUCAGUUGAGCCCCUGUCUGAGCAGGAGAUUAUGCGACUUCGGUACCUGCUAGGAAGAUGAAGAAGCAGAUUGCAGUUUCCCGUUCGAGUGCAGAGGCUGAGUUGCGAGUUAUGGCUCUUUUGAUGGCUGAGGUGACUUGGUUACGGUGGUAACCUUUCCAUAUUUACCCUAUUGUAUAAGGGGUUUCCUGCAUAUUCUACACCUGUACAUGUAUAUAUACCGGCCUAUGGCUUAAUUGGGAAUACAGGUUGCAUAUUUUCUAACAGAACUAUCAUCAAAGUCUAAUAUACAACCCUGAACUAUGAAA